UACGACCACACACGUUGAAAUGCCGGUUCCUGUACGAUCACCAAACUUAAGCAACGUUGAGACUGGUUAGUACCUAUGUGGGUAAUCGCUUGGGAAUAUCAGAUGCUGUAA